GUUAGGUAUUCUUUUACCUUCUCUGAAAAUCUAACGCUGCCUCUUGGUUUGCUUACGGCCCAUACUGUUCGUAGAGACGAGUGGGGCGAAGUAUCCCCGGGAGAAGUGAUUGGUGUACUGGAAUCUAACGAACAGCUCGAACACUCAAUACCGGCGGUAUCUAUCGACGAGAACCUAAGGGCCCAUUCCCUUUUGAUUGCAUCAUACCGGCUUAACCUGCUGACUGUAUGCUCUCCAACGUCCAGGUGCAGCUCUAGUUGCGAAAACGUUUCGAACACUUCAACACAUCCAAGCGCAGAGCAUUCAAACAAUGGCGUUGUACUCUCUGUUUCCUUGCUGCCCUUUGAACGACGCUUGACCACACGCUUUUCAGGAGGAUCAUAAAACCCUUGAGAUUCUAUGGUUUGAAGGGACGUUUGACCUUGGUGCUUGAUAUAAAUUACGUCAUAUGGAAUGCACUUCCCUUUACCGAUGCCAUAACAUUUCCAUACUCUCAGACCGGUAUCUCCAUAUUCGAAGUUGUGGAAGCUACUAAAAUGCUCAAUCUUAUUUAUACAGAGAGUGUUCUUUGAUUCGUCGACUAUGCUCACUGCAGCUGUUGUUUCCUUUCACUGGGUGUUGCGUCAAUGCAUCUCGCAUGUCCACGGCAGUUAGAAUAUCGUGCCCUUCGUUGCAGUAAGCACGAAUAGAGGACUUCAUUGGACAGAGGAUACGAUCGCAAAUGUCUUUACCAGACUGCGGCUCCGAGUAGUGAUAACUAUGAACUUCAACCCCAACUUCUUUUGCGACAUCUCUCACAGCGGUUACUAGAGAGCUGUUGUGAUAGCAACCGGCUUCAUCCGACCUUAGAAGAGAAUGCAGAUGCAAUUCAAAGUUUCAACAGGACAUUAAGCGCGAAACAUGGCUUUAGUUUUCGAGUUUAGUUCGCAACAACGAAUCAAAGAAGAGUAUCGAUAGAUGCCGACCGCUGAAGUUUGGAGUUAUUUGCUGGAGUUAUCAUAAAGUUCGUCAGUUUGGGAAGCGAGGAAUAUCUGAAAUUUCACAUAAACCCAAGAUGCGACGAAGAUGCAAAAUAUGUCAUUAUACAGAUACAAGAAAAAUAUUAUACAGAA